rnacentral:lncRNA from 1 species
CUCUUAUCAUGUUUUCAUUUCUAAGCUGCUUGCUGGACACAUUGCUUGUAAUCACGGUUGACUCAACUGGCAAAAUUUAUCUGGCAAGCACCAAUCAAUAAAUGUGAUACUGCCCUAAGGGCACUGAGCUAAUGCUUCUAAAAGGUUUUCUUCUUAUCUGCCAACUCUGCUUCUCUCCACAACUUUGUUUUGAGGGGUGAGCACCUGCUAGCAGAGCCAUUCAACUCUUCAUUCCUUUCCACAGAAAUCUGAUCAUGAAAGCCUGGCAGCGGGGAUAUGCUCCAGUUCCUGUCGCGUUGUGGCCAAGCAGGAUGGUGGCAGCGGGUGGCAUGGUUCGGGCCUGCUGUCUGGAGAGGUGCUGGUGGCUGGUCCCUCGGCUAUGGUCCGUCCCUUGAGGUUGAUGACUUAUGGUGCAUGCUGAGAGGCCAGGGCCAUGACUACUUCCACAGGGACAGACUUGGCGCUAGCCCUUCAUGAGGUUGGACCUCUCUGCCAGCAGGGCUGGCGCUGGGCCAGCGCGCUGGUUUUGAACAAGGGAUGAGGGUGAAGCCAUCCGUUUUGCCAUGCCUGUCCCCUCCCUUCAAACCCAAGCCACCAAACUGGCUGGCAGAGGAGGCAGGAAACUGAAGUCAAAUCAAAACCAGGCUGAAAGCCCUCAAAAACUGUUGUGUUCACGCAGGUGAGUUGCGGUUGUGAAAUGAGCUCACAGGAAGCAAUUAUGCUCCUGUCCUGUGAUGUGCUUUGGGAGGGUUAUUUGCAUGGUCUCACGCUGUUCGCAGUGGAUGUGGGGGUGGUAAUUUGCCUUCUGCAGCCUCUGUCGUCUCUCUGAGACCUGGCCAGGCUCUAAGUUGCAUCCAGGCCUGGGCUGGAUCAUGGCCCCCUCCGAGCACAUGGGCAGCUCUGUCCCUUGUGUGUUGGCACAGGGAGGCGAUCACAGGAGAGUGAACAUCCAUUGCGACUCAGUCUGCUUAAGCCUAAAUUCUGCCCAGUGAGGAUGGUGAAAAGAUAUCUUGAAAUCCAUUUUAACAUCAAUUUAAUUUCAGGCCUGCUGUUAUGAAAGAAAUGGUUUAAUGUUACAUCUGGGGAAAAAAAAGAAGCAGUUUCAGGUUACUUGACUGUGGGUAAAUUUUGUUUUGUUUUAUUUAAGGACAGUGUCAAAAUUUCUUUUGUUGAAAUGUUUCUCAUGUGUAAGCUUUUGUAAUGCAGAACUAGUGUGCUGUAUCAUGGGAGUCAUGAAAAACAGGGCUCGGAGGCAUCUCUAAAGAAUUCGUGUCCAAACCCUGCUCCAGGUAGGAUCACCUCUACCUAAACCAUUCAUGCUUAUUGUCUAACCCAUUUCCUAACAUCUCUGGUGAUCUUCCCACACAGGGUGUUC